rnacentral:rRNA from 1 species
GUCGCUGCCCGGAACUGAGCCGUUUCGAGAAGACUGGGGAUUGACGCUUUACGGGCUUAACGGCUCGUUUUGCAUUGAAAACCAAUUUAAUCGCAGUGGCUUGAACCGGGCAA